ensembl:lncRNA
AGCCACGACUGAACCAUGUGCCAGUCCUAAUUUAUCCACACGCCCACAUCACUUGAAGCACGUGUCAGCCCUCUGGAGCCACCUGCAUGCCAGCCUGAACCACGUGCCAACCAUGCCACAACCAAGUGUGAGCCACGCCUGAGCAGCACCACAGCCAUGCAUGAGCCAGAACUCAGCCCUGAGGGAGCCAUGUGUGACAAACGCCUGAAUCGUGCGUCAGCCACAUGUGACCAAGUUCUGUGGUGUGCCUGCAUCACGUGUGAGCCUUAGCUGAGCUGCAACUGAACCAUAUGUGGGCCAUGCCUAAAUCAUGUGUGAAAGCCUCCUGCAGCAUUUGUGACCCAGACAAGUCACGAGUGAGCCAUGCCUGAAUUACUUCUGAACCGUGUGUGAGCCACAACUGAACCAUGCCUGAACCACAUGAGAGGGCCCCUUGGACUGCAUCGGAAGCACAUGGGAAGCACGCAUGUUGAAUGCUUGAACCACAAAUGAACCUCAGGUGAGCCACACAUGAAACACAGCUGAGGCAUGCAUGAGCCACGUGCUAGCCAAGACUGAGUAUGUGGGGGCCACAUUUCAGCAACGUGGGAGCCACACCUGGAUGACAUGUCCCACGUGUGAUCACAUAACUGCCACACAUGGAUAAUGUGCGAUGAAUGCCUGAGUCAGGUGUGGGUCAUGCCUGCAUCAUGCAUCAGCCGCGCAUCAGAAAAUUGCCAGCCAUACCUGAAUCACCUGUCACCCACAUCCGAACCACAUGUCAGCCACACCUGAGCCAUGUGUCAACGGCGACACACCAACUGUCAGCCACACAGCAAGCAUGUGUCACUGCGGCCUGAAUGAAGCAUCACAUACCACUGGGACCCGUGUAUGACACGCCUUGAUACCAUGCCUGAAACACAUGCCAACAACACCUGAAUCUCAUGUCAGAUAUGCCUGAGCCAAGUGGCAACCAUGCCAGAGCCACGCCCCAGCAUGGCGUGAGCCUCACCUGAGACAUGUGUUAGCCAUGUGUGACAAACUCCUGAAUCAUGUGUCAGCCACACCUGGCCCCGGUCUGAGGCUCACCUGAACUACAGGUGAGCCAUGGCUGAGCCAUGCCUGCACCACGUGUGAGCCACGCCUGAAUCAAGGGUGAAACACUCCUCAACCAUAGGUGACACGCACAUGAGCUGUGUGCGAACCACACCUGGGUUACACCUGAACCAUUUGGGAGCCACACCUGAACCAUGACUGAACCACAUGAGACACACUUGAACCACAUGGGAAACACGUGUGAAGCACACAUGUUCAAGGUGUGAACGACACGUGAACCACAAGGGAGCCACUCGUGAAUCAUGUCAGGGCCAUGCGUGAGCCACAUGCCAGCCACGUCUGAUUAGGUGGGAGCCAUGGGUCAGCAGCAAAUGAGUCACAUGUGUGCCACACAUGAACGUCAGGUAAGACAUGCAUGAAACACAUGUGUGCCAGGCAUGGAUAAUGUGCGAUGAAUGCCUGAGUCACGUGUCAGCCAUGCCUGCGUCAUGUGUCAGCCACACCUGAAACACCUGGGACCCCUGCGUGAAACAUUCACCAGCAAGCCCUGAGCCACGUGAAGGCCGUGCAUAAACCAGGUGUGAGCCACACUUGCAUGAUGUGACAGGCACGCCUGUGUCACAUGGCUGCCUCACCUGAGUCAUGUGUCACCCAUGCCUGAGAAACAUGUGAGCCACGGCUCACCAACACCAAAGUCAUUCAUGAGCCACACCUGAACCAUGUGCGACACAUGUGUGACCAAAGGCUGUAACAUGUGUCAGCCACAUGGGAGCCAGUUCUGUGGCAUGCCUGCAUCACGUGUGUGCCAUGGCUGAGCUAUGCCUGUAC